rnacentral:rRNA from 1 species
GAAGCUAAAAAGAGCGCAGGGUGGAUGCCUUGGCACUGAGAGCCGAAGAAAGACGUGAUAAGCUGCGAAAAGCUGCGGGGAGUGGCAAAUACACAUUGAUCCGCAGAUAUCUGAAUGGGGAAACCCGGCGGAGAAGCCCUCCGUCAGCGCAUGGUGAAUCCAUAGCCAUGCGUGGGGAACCCGGUGAACUGAAACAUCUAAGUAGCCGGAGGAAGAGAAAACAACAGUGAUUCCGUAAGUAGCGGCGAGCGAACGCGGAAGAGCCCAAACCGAAGUGCGUGCAUUUCGGGGUUCGGACUGCAUACUUGACUUUUUAGGAUAGUGGAACGGUACUGGGAAGACCGGCCAGAGAGGGUGAAAGCCCCGUAGACGAAAUCCAAAGAAGCGAAGCAGUAUCCAGAGUAGGACGAGACACGUGGAACCUUGUCUGAACAUGCGGGGACCACCCCGUAAGGCUAAAUACUCCUCAGUGACCGAUAGAGCAUAGUACUGUGAAGGAACGGUGAAAAGGACCCCGGGAGGGGAGUGAAAGAGAACCUGAAACCCUGUGUUUACAAACUGUCGAACAUCUGUAUAUGAUGAACGGCGUACUUUUUGUAGAACGGUCCGGCGAGUUACGACUGCUGGCGAGGUUAAGGAUCUAAGAUCCGGAGCCGAAGGGAGACCAAGUCUUAACAGGGCGUCAAGUCAGUAAGCGUAGACCCGAAACCGGGUGACCUACCCAUGUCCAGGAUGAAGCUGCCGUAAGAGGUAGUGGAGGUCCGAACGCACAUCCGUUGAAAAGGGUGGCGAUGAGGUGUGGGUAGGGGAGAAAUUCCAAUCGAACCCGGAGAUAGCUGGUUCUCCUCGAAAUAGCUUUAGGGCUAGCCUCAUGUUAGUCUUGUGGAGGUAGAGCACUGAAUACCCUAGGGGGCGUCAAAGCCUACCGAAGGUUAUCAAACUGCGAAUGCCAUUAAGAUGAUGCAUGGGAGUCAGACU